GGGCGUGUUGUCGUUGAUGUCCAUGACGAUGAUCCGGACCUCGGUAGGUGGACAUGGCUGAACCAAAAGAUGACUGCUACAGGUCAUAUGAUUCAUAAGUUGACUACAGUUUCUGGAAAUUUCCAACAACAGUUGCAGGACAAAAGCUCAACCCUCAUCCUUGUGGAAUCUCACACCUCUCAUUUUGAGGACACAUUACAAUCAAUGAAACCAGAGACCAGCAGAUGACCUGUCUCCCCAUCAAAACUAGUUAUACCUGCAGGGGUGCUAAUAGCCACUAUCUAUGUCCUAAGCCUGCAGGACUCCAGGCUGACCAACAGCCUGCAUCAAGUCCAAACCUCCUCGAAGCGUGUUCAUCUGAAAGAUUCCUGUCAUCGCCUGCUGAACAGGCCAUGUCUCUGAAUGCUAACCUCAUCUUGCUGCAUCGCCAUCAACUUUACAGGAAUUCUACAACUCCUACUUCAGCUAGCUGAAUCCACCUGAACUGUAACUCCUCCAUGAAGUUAUUGAACUCUGACUUCGUGGACUCCAGCAAUCACGUGAACUGAUAUACAUAUCUGUGGUUCUUUUCUUUUUAAGUUACUCAUAGUUGUAAAAACUCAUUUUUCUUAUCUUAUUAUGUGCUCGUGCACAUAUAUGAAGUUGUGACCAUUCCUUGGGUUUGAAUGUGUGAAUAAACCAU